GCGGGAAGGCCUUCCAAAGGGGCCCAGUUAGAUGACUACUUCCCUGAUUCCGAGAACCCUGAAGUGGGGGGCCUCAUGGCGGUCCUGGCUGUGGUUGGAGGCAUCGAUGGUCGCCUGUGCCUGGGCGGCCAAGUUGUGCACGAUGACUUUGGAGAAGUCACCAUGACUCGCAUCACCCUGAAGGGCAAAAUCACCGUGCAGUUCUCUGACAUGCGGACGUGUCGCGUUUGCCCAUUGAAUCAGCUGAAACCAGUAGGUGAACUUGUGCUUAGUUACUGCAUGAUAAGGGAAAUUGACUUUACACUAGAACCGAGCACCAACAUCAGCACUUGAAAGAACUUGAUUCUGGUACUUGAAGUUUGCCUUCCAGGAAGCUGUGCGAGCUUGUGCUUCUGUGGAAUAUAUACAUGUUGUAGAAAACUUGAAGUAUAUAGAAAAUAUCUGAGAAGAUAGUAACCACCACACUGAUGUAAUUAUUGUUGACAGCUCCCUGCCGUGGCCUUUAAUGUGAACAACCUGCCCUUCACAGAGCCCAUGCUGUCUGUCUGGGCUCAGUUGGUGAACCUCGCUGGAAGCAAGUUAGAAAAGCACAAAAUAAAGAAAUCGACUAAACAGGCCUUUGCAGGACAAGUGGACCUGGACCUGCUGCGGUGCCAGCAGUUGAAGCUAUACAUCCUGAAAGCAGGUCGGGCGCUGUUCUCCCA
ensembl:lncRNA novel transcript